UCAGACCCUUCCACUUGCGUCAGUUGGAAUAGAGAAGUGUGCAGAGAACAUCUCUAAUGGCUCCUCGGUACGCGCCAAGUCUGCGCUCCCGUCUGGCUCCUGUGCUGCUCCUACUGCAGCUGAGCUUCAUUGUCAUUUAUGCCUUUUACACUGAGAUCCAGUACCAUGGAAAGCCACAUGGGGACACCUUCAGUAACAUCUACCCACAGUUCCAGGAUGUGAACGUAAUGGGGAUUUUAGGCUUUGGCUUCUUGGGCACUUUCCUCGUGCGAUAUGGUUUCAGUGCCUCUGCCUUCAACCUCCUUGUUGCCGUCAUGGCCACACAGUGGGCACUCAUACUCAACGGUAUUGAAGCCUACAGUGGAAAGAUACGGCUGGAUAUGAGGAGCUUGGUAGAAGCAGAAAUGUGCACAGCAUCUGUCCUCAUUUCGAUUGGAGCUGUACUGGGGAAGACCAACCCUGUUCAGCUCAUCCUCAUCUCCCUGCUGGAGGUGUCAGGGUUCAUCUUCAAUAAAUGGGUCCUGCAGAAUCUGCUGAAGGUGCGGCUGGUGGACAGCCUCAUGAUGCUACACAACUUUGGGGCUUUCUUUGGACUCAUGCUGACUUGGAUCCUGUAUCGGAAAGGAUCAGAAGAGCCAUUUGAAAAAGAGAGAUUGCACCACAUAUCUGGAUUAUUCUCCAUGUUGGGGACUGUGUUCCUCUGGAUGUUUUGGCCCAGUUUUAACUCGGUGCUUGUGGAUGAUCGUAGUCCCGGGAGGAAGCUCGAAGCCGUGUGCAGCACCUACCUGGCCCUGGCUGUCAGUUCUGUAACAGCAGCUGCCGUGUCUGUGCUCUCCAGUCCCAAGGGAAAACUCAACCUGAUCCAUAUGCAGCGGUGCACUCUUGCUGGUGGUGUCGCUGUUGGUGUCGCCAUGUCUGUGGUUCAUCAGCCAUGGGAGGCCAUGAUGAUUGGAUUCACUGCUGCUGUUGUAUCAACCAUUGGACACAGAUACCUCAAGACUCAGAUGCUACUUGCAUUUCAAUGCCACGACACCUGUGCUGUUCUCAGUACACACGGACUCCCUGGUCUACUGGGAUGGACAGCACAUCUUGUCCUGCAGAUUAAAGACUGUGAAAACCACACAAUAGCAAUCCGGUUUGCUGUGUUUCACAUUUGUACUCUCCUCCUCACCGUCACUAUAAGUCUUUCCAUGGGAAUCAUCACAGGGACUUUUCUGUUUCUCUAAGGACUUAUACUCAAGUGGGACUUCUGGAGACCAACCCAGGACAAGAAAUGUUUCGAUGACCAGGCUUUCUGGGAGUUUCCUAAUCUAGCAGUAAAAAAGUGAGCUGGAGAAAGACAGGCCAAGUCUGGAAUCCUGGAAGUGAAACAUAUUUUCACCUCAAUGUAUAUAACAAUAUGUAAAUGUUUUUUGUAAGAAUGAAGGUUUAACCAGACAAA